rnacentral:rRNA from 1 species
UACGUAGGGCGCGAGCGUUGUCCGGAAUUAUUGGGCGUAAAGAGCUCGUAGGCGGCCUGUUGCGUCCGCUGUGAAAUCCCAGGGCUCAACCCUGGGCGUGCAGUGGAUACGGGCAGGCUGGAGGCAGGCAGGGGAGAACGGAAUUCCCGGUGUAGCGGUGAAAUGCGCAGAUAUCGGGAGGAACACUGGUGGCGAAGGCGGUUCUCUGGGCCUGUUCUGACGCUGAGGAGCGAAAGCGUGGGGAGCGAACAGG